rnacentral:tRNA from 1 species
GGGCCCGUGGUCUAGUCCGGUAUGACGUCUCCUUUACACGGAGAAGGUCACCAGUUCAAAUCUGGUCGGGCCCA